ACCAUCGUCGUCCUUCCUAUCCCCUCCUUCCACCAUCUGCAAUCAAAAUUAGGGCAAGUUAUUCUCUAACCCGAUGAACCCGAUGUGGCCCCCACGGCUUCGUCCUUCCUAUCCCCUCCCCUCAUCAAACCCGAUGUAGCCCCCAUCAGAAGAGUCGCCGGUGCCAUCACCCCGAAGGUCGUGGACACACGGACUCAUCGAGCUUGAGUUCAACACUACUAACAACUCUGUACCGAGUCUCCGUCUCCGGUGGUCUCAAGGAGGUGGAUUUUAUAGCAGGAGCCAUUAGAGCUAAUUGCCCUAGCUGAAGUUCAUCUACGGCCUCCAUUGCAAUCCAGACGAGUUCAUCUGCAAUCUCUUCAACCGAAUCAACCCUCUCGAGUAACAUUUCGAUGAAGGAGGGUGGGUUGAUGAGAAGAGGGAAUGAGCAUAGGAGUUCCGUGUGUCCACGACCUUCGGCACGAUGGCGCCAACAACUCUUCUGAUGGGAGACGACGUCGGGUUUGUCUGAUGGGGGAAGGAAAGGAUGCUGGUAACAAUGAGUUUGGGCCUUUUUAUUUUUUAUUAUUUUUAUAACUGGUAUGACAAAAACAACGUCGUACUAGGUUGCUUCGCUGCAGGAUUGGCAGCAAGUUGAACGUUUGUCUACUAAAUGCCACAUAAGCGUCCAUAUCAUUUUUCCGUAACGACACUAACUAAAUUUUGACGGU